rnacentral:rRNA from 1 species
CUGCGAAUGGCUCAUUAAAUCAGUUAUCGUUUAUUUGAUAGUACCUUGCUACUUGGAUAACCGUGGUAAUUCUAGAGCUAAUACAUGCUAAAAAUCCCGACCUCUGGAAGGGAUGUAUUUAUUAGAUAAAAAACCAAUGCCUUCGGGCUUCCUGGUGAUUCAUGAUAACUUUACGAAUCGCAUGGCCUUGCGCCGGCGAUGGUUCAUUCAAAUUUCUGCCCUAUCAACUUUCGAUGGUAGGAUAGUGGCCUACCAUGGUUUCAACGGGUAACGGGGAAUUAGGGUUCGAUUCCGGAGAGGGAGCCUGAGAAACGGCUACCACAUCCAAGGAAGGCAGCAGGCGCGCAAAUUACCCAAUCCCGACACGGGGAGGUAGUGACAAUAAAUACUGAUACAGGGUCCUUUCGGGUCUUGUAAUUGGAAUGAGUACAAUUUAAAUCCUUUAACGAGGAACAAUUGGAGGGCAAGUCUGGUGCCAGCAGCCGCGGUAAUUCCAGCUCCAAUAGCGUAUAUUAAAGUUGUUGCAGUUAAAAAGCUCGUAGUUGAAUUUUGGGUUUGGGUGACCGGUCUGCGUCUACCGCAUGUACUGGAAACCCGGAUCUUUCCUUCUGGAGAACCACAUGCCCUUCGCUGGGUGUGUUGGGGAACCAGGACUUUUACUUUGAAAAAAUUAGAGUGUUCAAAGCAGGCAUUUGCUCGAAUACAUUAGCAUGGAAUAAUAAAAUAGGACGUGCGGUUCUAUUUUGUUGGUUUCUAGGACCGCCGUAAUGAUUAAUAGGGAUAGUCGGGGGCAUCCGUAUUCGAUUGUCAGAGGUGAAAUUCUUGGAUUUUUCGAAGACGAACUACUGCGAAAGCAUUUGCCAAGGAUGUUUUCAUUAAUCAGGAACGAAAGUUGAGGGAUCGAAGACGAUCAGAUACCGUCGUAGUCUCAACCAUAAACUAUGCCGACUAGGGAUCGGGCGAUGUUUUCUUUUUGACUCGCUCGGCACCUUACGAGAAAUCAAAGUGUUUGGGUUCUGGGGGGAGUAUGGUCGCAAGGCUGAAACUUAAAGGAAUUGACGGAAGGGCACCACCAGGAGUGGAGCCUGCGGCUUAAUUUGACUCAACACGGGGAAACUCACCAGGUCCAGACACAUUAAGGAUUGACAGAUUGAGAGCUCUUUCUUGAUCAUGUGGGUGGUGGUGCAUGGCCGUUCUUAGUUGGUGGAGUGAUUUGUCUGCUUAAUUGCGAUAACGAACGAGACCUUAACCUACUAAAUAGCCAGGCCCGCUUUGGCGGGUUUCCGGC